ensembl:misc_RNA Metazoa_SRP Metazoan signal recognition particle RNA
GCCGGGCGUGGUGGCGGGCGCCUGUAAUCCCAGCUACUCAGGAGGCUGAGGCAGGAGAAUCGCUUGAACCUGGGAGGCGGAGCUUGCACUGAGCCGAGAUUGUGCCAGUAUACUCCAGCCUGGGUGACAAAGCGAGACUCUGUCUCAA